GCCCCUCCGAGAUGGUGUGCGGAUCAGAUGGAUUGUUGGGAGGUGUUGGUCAAUGCGUGGUGCUCAAAAGAAUGGUUGGCCACCCACAAAGAGGCCAAGGACAAACGUGCCCAAAUGGAAGGUGUGCCACACCACCAAGGCAGCUCCAACUUAUUUCAGUAUAGGCGGAACUGGGCACGCUACAAUAAGGCGGAUAAGGUGCCAGAGGUGUACGACCUGUAUGCCAUGGCCCACACUGGCCCUUACAAGAAAGUCAAGGCAUUCUCUGCGUCUGACCUCGAUGAUCUAAAGAACUUCACCAACAUCUCCGCCCACGACAAGCUCGUGCAAUAUAGAGAUCAGGGGAAGGCGAGGAAAGGGGAGGACUUUAACCCGAGCCAGGGUCCCAUUGAUACAGAGCUGCUGAUGAUAUCUGGUGGCGGGAGGUCCCAUGGCUCCAUAGCCAUGGGAGAUGGACUUAUCCGUUGUCCUAGCACUCUCUUGGAGAUCAAGGCGCACCAGUCGAGCUCCGCUCCUAAGAUAAGGCCUCGUGAACGGCCAGUCCAACUUGCCUUCAAGGUUAGUUAUACGUACUCAGCUAUCUUUCUCCAUUACAUUGUGUGCGCUUCCAUCAAUGAUUACAAAUGGUCAUGUGAGUGGUGUUGCAGGCUGCUAUACAGAGUGAGAGAGAUAGAACGGAGAAACUUCUGGCGGAGGCGGCGGAGAGGCGGCGGGAGUUGGAGGAGAGGACGACAAAGAUGUUGGAGGAGGAGAGGGCAC
rnacentral:rRNA from 1 species